GAUGAACGCUGACAGAAUGCUUAACACAUGCAAGUCUUUGGCGAAUCUGUGCUUGCACAGGCUAGCCAAGGCGGACGGGUGAGUAACGCGUAAAGAACUUGCCCUGCAGACAGGGAUAACAGACGGAAACGACUGAUAACACCUGAUACAGUUGCCGGCACGCAUGUGCCUGGCAAUGAAAAGAGAUGCUGCAGGAGAGCUUUGCGUCCUAUUAGCUUGUUGGUGAGGUGACGGCUCACCAAGGCGAUGAUAGGUAGCCGGCCUGAGAGGGUGAACGGCCACAAGUGGACUGGGAGGCGGCCGUUACGACUACGGGAGGCAGCAGUGGAGAAUAUUGGACAAUGGGGGCAACACUGAUCCAGCAAUUCUGUGUGCACGAAGAAGGUUUUCGGAUUGAAAAGUGCUUUCAGCAGGGAAGAAGAAAGUGACGGUACCUGCAGAAGAAGCGACGGCUAAAUACGUG
rnacentral:rRNA from 1 species